GGUAAAAUGGCUGAUUAAGGCGAUAAAUUGUAAAUUUAUUUAUGAGAAAAUCUUUUACUG
rnacentral:tRNA from 1 species